rnacentral:tmRNA from 1 species
GGGGAUGACAGGCUUCGACGGGCGAGGCUGGUCCCGGACUGCGAGCCGAGAGGUACCGAACUCGUAAAAUCAGUACAAAAAACAAGUGCCAAUCGCACUAACUACGUAGCUCUUCCACUCGCCGCCUAGCGUCGAGUGCGAGCUCAAAUGACGCCCUAAGAAGCGUCACGUCUUCCUGCCCCGCUCUUGAACCGGUGGCAGAGCGGGCGUAAUAAAGUUCAAGUGCCGUGCAACACGUCGUGGGUUGUACGAAAGAGGGCUCUAGGGCUCUAACGACUGGCUAGUCUACGCUUUUGUUCAUUUUACGCAGGCGAGCGACACAGAAAACGAACUACGCUUGUAGAGGUCCGCGGGUCUAUUCGUUCGGACGCGGGUUCAAUUCCCGCCAUCUCCACUA